AGGACGAACGCUGGCGGCGUGCUUAACACAUGCAAGUCGAACGGAAGGCCCUGCUUUUGUGGGGUGCUCGAGUGGCGAACGGGUGAGUAACACGUGAGUAACCUGCCCUUGACUUUGGGAUAACUUCAGGAAACUGGGGCUAAUACCGGAUAGGAGCUCCUGCUGCAUGGUGGGGGUUGGAAAGUUUCGGCGGUUGGGGAUGGACU
rnacentral:rRNA from 1 species